rnacentral:rRNA from 1 species
GCUAAGGUAGCAUAAUAACUUGCUCUCUAAUUAAGAGAUAGAAUGAAAGGUCACACAUUAAAAACCUGUCUCUAUAAAACAAAAUUAAAUUAAGAAAAAAGUUAAAACUCUUUUAAAUAAAGCGGGACGACAAGACCCUGAUAAACUUCUCAUUUAGUUGGGGAAACAAAUUAACAAUAAUUUAAAUAUAUAUAAUCCAAAACUUAAACAUAAAUAUAGACUAGUUACUACAGGGAUAACAGCGUUAUUUCUUUCAAGAGUCCUCAUCCAAAAAGAAGAUUACGACCUCGAUGUUGAAUUAAUCACCCUAAUACUGGUGCAACAACCAAAAAAGGUAGUCUGUUCGACUAUUAAAAGAUU